rnacentral:rRNA from 1 species
CCUACGGGUGGCAGCAGUGGGGAAUUUUGGACAAUGGGCGCAAGCCUGAUCCAGCCAUGCCGCGUGCGGGAAGAAGGCCUUCGGGUUGUAAACCGCUUUUGGCAGGAACGAAACGGCGCCCCCUAAUACGGGGUGUUAAUGACGGUACCUGCAGAAUAAGCACCGGCUAACUACGUGCCAGCAGCCGCGGUAAUACGUAGGGUGCGAGCGUUAAUCGGAAUUACUGGGCGUAAAGCGUACGCAGGCGGCUAUGCAAGACAGAUGUGAAAUCCCCGGGCUUAACCUGGGAACUGCAUUUGUGACUGCAUGGCUAGAGUUUGUCAGAGGGGGGUGGAAUUCCACGUGUAGCAGUGAAAUGCGUAGAGAUGUGGAGGAACACCGAUGGCGAAGGCAGCCCCCUGGGAUGUGACUGACGCUCAUGUACGAAAGCGUGGGGAGCAAACAGGAUUAGAUACCCCUGUAGUC